UGUGCUGCCCUUUAACUAAAAAUAUUUCAACUUCUUCAGGCUCCAAAGCCUUUUUGUGAGCAAUAUAUUCGCAUAGGUGUUUGACUGACAAACUGGGGCGACAGCAAAGGUAGGGCUGUUUCAAAUUCAUAAAACUUUCAUUGUCCAUGGAAAUAAGCAUGAGGUGAACAUCCAACUCAUCAUUAUUUUCCUCUAAGCUCCUGAGAUAUUCUACCAGCUUGGAUAAGCGAGUGCUUCUGGCAUUCUUGUUGUUGCAACUGCUAGCAUUACCAUGCCGUGUAUGACUUCGAGCACCACCCCUGCCCCAGGCAAGCAUUUCUGUAUUCCAAACAAGCCCAGGAGAUAUUCCUCUGUUCUCUCUGGUGGCUUCUAAAUCAUUUUCAAUGCAUCCAGCCUCUGGAUUUGAAGCCGACGAAGAAGGCUGACAAGGCCUAAUUCCUGGCCGUCUCUUGCGCCUGCGCUGCCUUACUUCUGUGGAGCGAUCAUCAGUAGAAGAUGAAUCCUUACCUCCAUUAUCAUCAUUCUCAUCCUCAAUGUCUUCUGAUCCUUGAAAUUCAGUGCCUCGGCUGUUUCGCCUCCUCCUUGAAGGAAUUGUCCGAUGAAUGCGCUGUGAUCUUUCCAUGAACGGACCAGUUGUUUCUUUACCCAUUGUGCGUCUCCUAACUAGUGCUUCAGAUUGUCGUUGAAAUAUUUGGGCAAUUGAAGCUUGGAUCUGCUUGUUUCGUGUCCUUUCCUCCUCAUGAAAAGCCAAUUCCUCCUCCUCAUACUUAUCAAUGUCUGGAUAUAGAGCAGCAAUUAAGGCAUCAUAAUUUGGAUCAUCUCUCAAAGAACGCCGACUUGCACAGUGUGUGCGGCAAGCAGGGCACUCAUUAUUCCCAAGUCGCAUUGAUUUGUCAAUGCAUUCCCUGCAAAAACGGUGCAGACAUUCCAUCAC
rnacentral:misc_RNA from 1 species